rnacentral:rRNA from 1 species
AUCGAACGCUGGCGGCAGGCCUAACACAUGCAAGUCGAGCGAGCGGCGGACGGGUGAGUAAUGUCUGGGAAACUGCCUGAUGGAGGGGGAUAACUACUGGAAACGGUAGCUAAUACCGCAUACCAUCAGAUGUGCCCAGAUGGGAGUAGCUGGUGGGUGGGGUAAAGGCUCACCAAGGAGACGAUACCUAGCUGGUCUGAGAGGAUGACCAGCCACACGGGAACUGAGACACGGUCAAGACUCCUACGGGAGGCAGCAGUGGGGAAUAUUGCACAAUGGGCGCAAGCCUGAUGCAGCCAUGCCGCGUGUGUGAAGAGGGCCUUCGGGUGGUAAAGCACUUUAAGCGGGGAGGCGUUACCCGCAGAAGAAGCACCGGCUAACUCCGUGCCAGCAGCCGCGGUAAUUC